GUGCUGACCUUGAGAGCGCGCGGGAAGGCGCAGGCGCAGCACAGGUAGCUGGGCGGGCGGCCCCCCAUUGUGGCGCCUGCGAGAUCCUGAGGGCAGUGGAAUUUGAUCAAGAGAAGUUGCUUCACUACUCGCAGAUACCAGCCGAAGCCAGAAGAACAUACCAACGGCAGAGAAACCAGGAAGAUAAUUAUGCCUAUUUAAUACUUUACAAUACGGACUGCUUCCUUUUAGUUUAAAUAUAUAUAUCAUCAGCUUGAAGAAAGUGAAAUUCCCAUAUACCUCUUAAUUUUGUGUUUCCUACCCCAGAAUCUCUACCUAUCAACUCUACUUUUUACAACAUUUGGCUCUAAUAGGACAGUACUGGAGGCAGCUUUGGAAUGUAGAUACAAAGUGCCUUUAUCCCAAAAGAUAAUUUCACAACGUGGAGAUCCUUGCUUAAGUCGAGACUGUAUCUUCAGUUACAUUUAUAGGAUGUAUUGCCGUAGUGCCUAGUUUUGUCAUUAAUCCGGAAUUGAGGGAAACUAGGACGCUUCAGAAGUUAAGAAGGUUGGGCAGAGGUGGCUAUAGAUGUAACAUUCCACCCUCCUUAUCAAACUAUCCAGAAAGCAUGGUGUCCAGACUAUAAAUAAAUCGUCAAAAGAUCCUGA